GUCAAUUAAUCAAAAUAAAAAUAAAGUUGUUUUUCUCUGUUUUUAUACGGUUUACACCUAUAACGAUACUAAAAUAUAUAAAUAACGAUGUCAGCAAGCAGCCAACGGGCAAACAAGGACCGUACUAACUUGGCUCAAAAAGAAACCGCCAAAUUGAUGAUGCUACUCAAGGAUUACCCAGUCCUAACCUGAAAAGAAACGGAUCACUCCAGCUAUCUAU